rnacentral:rRNA from 1 species
UACAGAGGGGGCAAGCGUUAUUCCCAUUGAUUAGGCGUAAAGGGUGCGUAGACUGUUUAAAAAGAUUAUUGUUAAAUUUUAGUAGUGCACUAAAUUAUAAUAAUGGCUAUUAAACUUGAGUAAAUAUGGGGUUAGUUCAAUUGUCAGUGUAAGGGUAAAAUCUUGAGAUAUUGAUAGGAAAAUUUUGAGCGAAAGCGACUGGCUGCAUAUUUACUGACGUUCAGGCACGAAGGUUUGGGGAUCAAACAGG